UGGGCAAAAAGAGAGAGAAAACACCAUCACAACAAGGGCAGAGCAGAGGAACCCUAAAUCAGAAGAGAUCAUUUAAAAGAAAAGCUUUAGCUGAAGAUAUUCUUCAUCAACAUGGAAUAUCAAGAUUAAAAGCAAAAAUGGAAUCAUGAAGCCAGACGGACUCUUAGAGAUCAUCUAGUUAAAGCCCCUCAUCAUACAAAUAGAGUCACUGAUGCCUAGAGACAAGAGCAGAGCUGCUUCCAGGUCAUUCAGUGAGUGAGUGGCAGGACCAGGGCCAACACCCAGGACUCUUUUCUCAUUUUCCUUUGCAACAUUAUGACUCAUAUUAAAUAACUACCCAUUCUUCA